GUGGGGAAUAUUGGACAAUGGGCGAAAGCCUGAUCCAGCCAUGCCGCGUGUGUGAAGAAGGUCUUCGGAUUGUAAAGCACUUUAAGUUGGGAGGAAGGGCAGUAAGUUAAUACCUUGCUGUUUUGACGUUACCAACAGAAUAAGCACCGGCUAACUUCGUGCCAGCAGCCGCGGUAAUACGAAGGGUGAAAGCGUUAAUCGGAAUUACUGGGCGUAAAGCGCGCGUAGGUGGUUUUGUAAGUUGGAGGUGAAAUCCCCGGGCUCAACCUGGGAACUGCCUCCAAAACUGCAUGACUAGAGUACGGUAGAGGGUAGUGGAAUUUCCUGUGUAGCGGUGAAAUGCGUAGAUAUAGGAAGGAACACCAGUGGCGAAGGCGACUACCUGGACUGAUACUGACACUGAGGUGCGAAAGCGUGGGGAGCAAACAGGAUUAGAAACCCCUGUAGUCC
rnacentral:rRNA from 1 species